rnacentral:rRNA from 1 species
CGAGUGGCGGACGGGGGAGUAAUGUCUGGGAAACGUGCCCGAUGGAGGGGGAUAACUACUGGAAACGGUAGCUAAUACCGCAUAACGUCGCAAGACCAAAGAAGGGGGGACCGUCGGGCCUCUUGCCAUCGGAUGUGCCCAGAUGGGAUUAGCUAGUAGGUGGGGUAAAGGCUCACCUAGGCGACGAUCCCUAGCUGGUCUGAGAGGAUGACCAGCCACACUGGAACUGAGACACGGUCCAG